UACAGAGGUCUCGAGCGUUGUUCGGAUUCAUUGGGCGUAAAGGGUGCGUAGGUGGCGCUGUAAGUCGGGUGUGAAAUCCUGAGGCUUAACCUCGGAACUGCAUUCGAUACUGCGGCGCUUGAGGACUGGAGAGGAGACUGGAAUUCAUGGUGUAGCAGUGAAAUGCGUAGAGAUCAUGAGGAAGACCAGUGGCGAAGGUGGGUCUCUGGACAGUUCCUGACACUGAGGCACGAAGGCCAGGGGAGCAAACGGG
rnacentral:rRNA from 1 species